CGCCAACACUGGGACUGAGACACUGCCCAGACUCCUACGGGAGGCUGCAGUCGAGAAUCUUUCGCAAUGGACGAAAGUCUGACGAAGCGACGCCGCGUGUGUGAUGAAGGCCUUAGGGUUGUAAAGCACUUUCGCCUGGGAAUAAGAGAGAUUGGCUAAUAUCCAAUCGAUUUGAGCGUACCAGGUAAAGAAG
rnacentral:rRNA from 1 species